rnacentral:rRNA from 1 species
UACGUAGGGGGCAAGCGUUGUCCGGAAUCAUUGGGCGUAAAGAGCGUGUAGGCGGCUCGAUAAGUCUGCUGUGAAAGUCCAGGGCUCAACCCUGGAAGGCCGGUGGAAACUGUCGGGCUAGAGUCCGGAAGAGGCGAGUGGAAUUCCUGGUGUAGCGGUGAAAUGCGCAGAUAUCAGGAGGAACACCAAUGGCGAAGGCAGCUCGCUGGGACGGUACUGACGCUGAGACGCGAAAGCGUGGGGAGCGAACAGG